rnacentral:rRNA from 1 species
AACGAACGCUGGCGGCAUGCCUAACACAUGCAAGUCGAACGAAGCCUUCGGGCUUAGUGGCGCACGGGUGCGUAACACGUGGGAAUCUGCCCUUAGGUACGGAAUAACAGUUAGAAAUGACUGCUAAUACCGUAUGAUGACUCCGGUCCAAAGAUUUAUCGCCUAAGGAUGAGCCCGCGUCAGAUUAGCUAGUUGGUGAGGUAAAGGCUCACCAAGGCGACGAUCCGUAGCUGGUCUGAGAGGAUGAUCAGCCACACGGGGACUGAGACACGGCCCAGACUCCUACGGGAGGCAGCAGUGGGGAAUAUUGGACAAUGGGCGAAAGCCUGAUCCAGCAAUGCCGCGUGAGUGAAGAAGGCCUUAGGGUUGUAAAGCUCUUUUACCCGGGAUGAUAAUGACAGUACCGGGAGAAUAAGCUCCGGCUAACUCCGUGCCAGCCGCCGCCGUAAAAC